AUGUAGCUCCCAGUAUACUCCAUCGCGACUGGCCACUCUGCCCUCAACCCUCAACCCAGCUGAAUACGACAUAUCUCUGGAGACCCAGUGGGCACAAGCUGAGCGAUUGGCCAUAAGGGCCUGGCCUAAACAGGAAUACCUGCUUCAGUACAACAACCCUAACCGCCAAGGGCUCAUCCAAAAUACUGCCUUGAUUUGUUGGACCUAUGCAAGAUCAGCAAGUGUCUAUCCCAAUUUUAGACCCGCUCCCAAAAACCCUCUCUUGGGAGCUCUCUGUGGAAUUGGGCCCCUCUUCUUCUAGUAUUAUGUUUUCAAAACUGACAGGGAUAGAAAAGAAAAACUUAUCCAGGAAGGAAAAUUGGGCUGAACAUUUAACAUCUCAUGUCAA
rnacentral:lncRNA from 1 species